rnacentral:lncRNA from 1 species
UGAAAGUUUGCUUUAUGGGUGUGUUUGGUUCGCCCCUUUUUCACCCUGGAAUUGGAAUCGGAAUAGACGAAUAUGUUUGUCCAUAUUUGGUAUGCGGGAUUAAAUUUCACUUUUUUAAGUUUAUUUGUUAAUUAAAAUAUAAGUUUAAGAGUAAACAUUACAUUUAUAAAUUUAAAUUUUAAUUUGAACUUAAAUUAAAAAUUAAGACUCAAUCAAGCAUUUCGAAUCUAAUUUAUAAAUUUGAAUUAAGUUUAAUUUAAAAUUUAAAAUUUUAUUCAAAUUUUAUUUAGAAUUUAAAUUAUAUUUACGGAUUCAAUUAAAAUUUAAAUUAUGAUUUUAAUUUUGAAUUUGAUUACUUUUAUAUUUUGAAUUAUCAAUUCAAUUUCCAAGUUUAUUUUUUUUUUUAAAAAUAUAUUUAAAAUUUGAUAUUAUUUUAAAAUUUUGACCUAAAUUUUUAAUAUUUAAUUUUUAGUUUGAAUUUAAGCUAAUAUAUUAUAAAGAUAAAAUUAGCAUAUUAAUUUGAUUAUAUUUCUGAUAUCUAUCCGAACCAAACACCGACAAUAGAAAUAGUUCAUUCCGAUUUUGAUUCAGGUGGCAACCAAACAAAAUGAGGUAAUGAAUCAUUCCAAUUUCGUUUCCAACUUAUUCUCAUUUCGAGUCUGAUACCGAUUCCGACUUCG